rnacentral:lncRNA from 1 species
AACAUAUGGAUAUUAAUCCCGGACCUGCUAAUCCUAUUGUGUUAUGGGACCAAGAAAAUCACGUAUCGUCGGACUUAUGGCAAAAUAUUGUAAGUUUAUUAAUGUAUAACAACUUUCAUUUUGUUAAACAUUUGUUAGAAACAUUCAUGUUGUGACGAUUUAUGUUUUUAUGUUGUUGGACGUGUAGGAUAGGGGUGUGUUAGAAAUUUGUCAAAUGUCUGCAAAAUUAACUGAAUGGAACUUGACUG